rnacentral:rRNA from 1 species
AUUGAACGCUGGCGGCAGGCCUAACACAUGCAAGUCGAACGGUAACAGGAAGAAGCUUGCUUCUUUGCUGACGAGUGGCGGACGGGUGAGUAAUGUCUGGGAAACUGCCUGAUGGAGGGGGAUAACUACUGGAAACGGUAGCUAAUACCGCAUAAUGUCGCAAGACCAAAGAGGGGGACCUUCGGGCCUCUUGCCAUCGGAUGUGCCCAGAUGGGAUUAGCUAGUAGGUGGGGUAACGGCUCACCUAGGCGACAAUCCCUAGCUGGUCUGAGAGGAUGACCAGCCACACUGGAACUGAGACACGGUCCAGACUCCUACGGGAGGCAGCAGUGGGGAAUAUUGCACAAAGGGCGCAAGCCUGAUGCAGCUAUGCCGCGUGUAUGAAGAAGGCCUUCGGGUUGUAAAGUACUUUCAGCGGGGAGGAAGGGAGUAAAGUUAAUACCUUUGCUCAUUGACGUUACCCGCAGAAGAAGCACCGGCUAACUCCGUG